UAGGGAAUCUUCGGCAAUGGACGCAAGUCUGACCGAGCAAUGCCGCGUGAGUGAGGAAGGCCCUCGGGUCGUAAAGCUCUGUUAUCAGGGAAGAACGCUAAGGAGAGUAACUGCUCUUUAGGUGACGGUACCUGAGAAGAAAGCCCCGGCUAACUACGUGCCAGCAGCCGCGGUAAUACGUAGGGGGCAAGCGUUGUCCGGAAUUAUUGGGCGUAAAGCGCGCGCAGGCGGCUAUUUAAGUCUUAUGUAUAACCCCAAGGCUCAACCUUGGAUCGCAUGGGAAACUGGGUGGCUUGAGUGUAGGAGAGGAAAGUGGAAUUCCACGUGUAGCGGUGAAAUGCGUAGAGAUGUGGAGGAACACCAGUGGCGAAGGCGACUUUCUGGCCUAUAACUGACGCUGAGGCGCGAAAGCGUGGGGAGCAAACA
rnacentral:rRNA from 1 species